UUUUGGACAAUGGGGGCAACCCUGAUCCAGCAAUGCCGCGUGAGUGAAGAAGGCCUUCGGGUUGUAAAGCUCUUUUGUCAGGGAAGAAACAGCAGCUCUAACACAGUCUGCGAAUGACGGUACCUGAAGAAUAAGCACCGGCUAACUACGUGCCAGCAGCCGCGGUAAUACGUAGGGUGCGAGCGUUAAUCGGAAUUACUGGGCGUAAAGCGUGCGCAGGCGGUUAUACAAGACAGGCGUGAAAUGCCCGGCCAGAACCUAGGAAGGGCGCCUCGGCCAGAUAGUUAUAAUGUGUCACAGGAGGGUAGAAUUUCAGCCCUAGCAAUGCAAUGCGUAGAUAUGGCCAGUAUACAAUAUGACAGAAUUCCCCCUUUAUACAGAACGAUCAGCUAAAAAA
rnacentral:rRNA from 1 species